rnacentral:rRNA from 1 species
GUGGGGAAUCUUGCGCAAUGGGCGAAAGCCUGACGCAGCCAUGCCGCGUGAAUGAUGAAGGUCUUAGGAUUGUAAAAUUCUUUCACCGGGGACGAUAAUGACGGUACCCGGAGAAGAAGCCCCGGCUAACUUCGUGCCAGCAGCCGCGGUAAUACGAAGGGGGCUAGCGUUGCUCGGAAUUACUGGGCGUAAAGGGCGCGUAGGCGGACAGCGUAGUCAGAUGUGAAAGCCCAGGGCUCAACCUUGGAAUUGCCUUUGAUACUGGCUGUCUUGAGUUUGGGAGAGGUGAGUGGAACUCCGAGUGUAGAGGUGAAAUUCGUAGAUAUUCGGAAGAACACCAGUGGCGAAGGCGACUCACUGGCCCAAUACUGACGCUGAGGCGCGAAAGCGUGGGGAGCAAACAGGAUUAGAUACCCUGGUAGUCC